UUGAUCUUCCUUUUCCAAGAUUUUACACAACUCGCCUUGGUUGCAGUCUUUACAUUGAUAUUUCUUCUAUAAUUAACUAACCAAGUCCCAUCAACUCUUGAAUCAGAGACGAUAGAAUUUGAAGACAAUGCCAAAUCGUACAAUCUGGGAAUUUGUUCUUCGAAGAUACAUGGCUCAUCUAUCUUCUCCUCCUCCGCUUCCUUCGACUAUCAUCACUUUCACUAUCACUGUCGUCAGAACUGGAUGAUGAUGAUUCAGAUUCUGAACCAGAACUCCCAGNNN
rnacentral:lncRNA from 1 species